UACGUAGGUGGCAAGCGUUGUCCGGAAUCAUUGGGCGUAAAGAGCGUGUAGGCGGCUCGGUAAGUCCGCUGUGAAAGUCCAGGGCUCAACCCUGGAAUGCCAGUGGAAACUGUCGAGCUAGAGUCCGGAAGAGGCGAGUGGAAUUCCUGGUGUAGCGGUGAAAUGCGCAGAUAUCAGGAGGAACACCAAUGGCGAAGGCAGCUCGCUGGGACGGUACUGACGCUGAGACGCGAAAGCGUGGGGAGCAAACAGG
rnacentral:rRNA from 1 species